GUCCAGGAUGUAUGGAAUAUCAUUAUGGUUUAUGUGGGCUCCGUCUAUGGCUCCAUUCCCAACACUGAAGGACUGGGAAAGGAAAGGAGUCAAGACAUCUUGCUCAAGGAUGCCCACGGGUUUGGCUGAGCAAGACGGAGAGCACCGAUGAUUCAAGGUGAUUUUGGAAAAGAAAACUGUGAAAGCAUGGAAUAAACAAAGAGAAAGAUAUCAAAAGAUGUAUUGACUUUGAAAAUGCCACGCUUGAUCCACAGACUUCAAUAUGAAUAGGAGAAGAUAAAUAAUAGACCUCAGAAGAAUUGUUCUGAAUUCCUG